UACGAAGGGGGCUAGCGUUGCUCGGAAUCACUGGGCGUAAAGCGCACGUAGGCGGAUUGCUAAGUCAGGGGUGAAAUCCUGGAGCUCAACUCCAGAACUGCCUUUGAUACUGGCGGUCUCGAGUCCGGGAGAGGUGAGUGGAACUGCGAGUGUAGAGGUGAAAUUCGUAGAUAUUCGCAAGAACACCAGUGGCGAAGGCGAGUCUCUGGACAUUUCCUGACGCUGAGGCACGAAAGCCAGGGGAGCAAACGGG
rnacentral:rRNA from 1 species